CCACGGACAUACGACGAGCUCGCGUUUGCGCUCGCGCGCACUUCUCAUGAGAACGGCUUUUGUACGCUUCUCUCAAUUCUACUGACGCCAGCCACGCCGUGGACUUACUGAUCGUGGAGUGUGAGAGAAGAAGGAAGGAGGUCGAAGACAUAGCAACAAAAAUUUUACUUAUUCUCUUUACCCUCAGGGUUAUCCAAGAAUACCUGCUGACUGGGAUAACAAGUCUCGUGCGAUAUAAGGUGUAUCCUGACAAGUGGUACAACCGAGCUAAGGAUGAUCCUACGUUUAAGUAAAUAAUAUUUGUUCGUUUGAUUCGCAACAAAAUAAUAAUAGAGUCAUCAGUUUUUCAUAACACUUAAUAUUAAAAUCAACAAAAUUAACAUGCUAUUCACCAAUUUCAACGUCAACGACAAUUUCAGAGUUAAUGUAUGACCAGAUUUCUUCAGAAACCAGUUGCUUGUACCAGAAUAUGGUACGAAUAAUGCCGUUCCUGUCACAGAACUCGUGUGUCCUGCAUUCUUUACUGCUGCUAAUCUUCAUCUUCAAGUAGCUUUAACUAGAAAACAAAGUUAAAAUGAGACAUACGUUUAUGUGAUUUUGUGCACUUUUUCAACGUACGUCAUUGUUUUAUUUGAUUUGAAAGAAAAGAAAAAUACGUGAGAAAAGUUUUUGCUGAAAGCAGUUUACAUGCAAGCGCACGAAGGGAUCCUUUCUUGGAACGUCUACCUUUCGAUAUUGUGCAGCAGACAGCGAUGUCUAGUAGGUGUGAACAUUUACGAUAAGGAAUGCCGUGUAAACCGUAACAGAAAUGGCAAUUCGAAUUGGCAGGAUUCAUCGAACGAUUCAAUUAAAAGAGUCCAAUGAGAAGUAAAUAUCUAAAGAGAAUGGCCAUCGAUACGGAUGAAGUCGAUUUAAAGCAACGAUAAGUAUAGUUUUGCUAUUCAUGGUUAAUGUACAAUGACAGGAUUGCAGGAUUCGAAUCGAUAGUAUGGUGCAUUUGAUGCGGUAGCGAUUGAAGGCGUGGCAGAUCGCGUUGUAGGUUAGCGAUUUCCGGGCGAUGCAUUACGACGAAGUGUGCGUCUUGGAAAUUGAGAUACGAGGUGUUUGUGAUGCCGCUGCCCGUGUCCAAGGCUACGUGUAUCUUGUAUAUGUAUGUGUAUGUGUGAGUAUGUCUCGUGAGAAUUGCAAAGCAAAUGGCGACGAAUGUCAUGGUGUAUGCGCUUGUGUUUACGUAUAUGCAUGAGAUAUUGGAAGGACAAAAAACAAGCGUGAAAUGAAGGACCAAGAAGUUCAAUUAUACCCAAUUCUGUUUUUACGCGAACAUUUUUUUUUUUUUAUGUGCAAUUUUGAUUUAACACAAUCGACCCAAAUUCUAAGAAGAAAAUUUUUAAAACUCAUGUCUUAUUGUAUUACUUUUGCUGAUUUCUUAGGACUGGAACCAAUCUUUUUUUUUUAUACAUAGUCUUCGUAAACGUAUUUAUCGUGUAAAAACAGAAU